rnacentral:rRNA from 1 species
UACGUAGGGGGCUAGCGUUGUCCGGAUUUAUUGGGCGUAAAGAGCGUGUAGGCGGCCAGGUAGGUCUGGUGUGAAAACUCGAGGCUCAACCUCGAGACGUCGGUGGAAACCGUUUGGCUAGAGUCCGGAAGAGGAGAGUGGAAUUCCCGGUGUAGCGGUGAAAUGCGCAGAUAUCGGGAAGAACACCCGUGGCGAAGGCGGCUCUCUGGGACGGUACUGACGCUGAGACGCGAAAGCGUGGGGAGCGAACAGG